AGCUGCGGCCAGCCUCGCCCGCCCAGAGCCCCGUGGCCAGCGGCCGGCCGCGAGGCCGUUUUGUCCUGAGGGCCAGAGAAAGGGAGAAGGGGGUGGGGGGACAGCCACGUGGCCGCAGGAGGAUUUACAACAUUUUCUCUCGCCAUCGAUGUUAUCGCAAAAUGUGUGAGAGAAGCGGCUGCGCAGCCCGGACGGGAGCGUGAGGGCGCGGGCCAGGUAAGCAGCCCCGGCGGUUUCGCCGCGUACGGGACUGCGGGGCGACCGCGGGCACCAGCCACGCGCAGCGGCUCCGCGGGGUCUCGGCCGGGUCCGCGCUCUGAAGGAUCUCGAGUGCCAUGGGUGGUGCAGGCGGGACCCUCGAGCUGCAGCAUCUCCGGUGACCCGGGGUUGCCGAGGAGGUGGAGACCAGCACAGGUGGUGCGGCCCGGGCGCCUCCGAAUCCGGGGGUGGUCAAGACGGAUCCCCAAGGCUGAGGUCGGCAGUCCCGGGGACUCGCAGCUGUUGAGCCUGUGGAGACGCGGCCUCGUGACCGAGGCACCCUUCAGCAACCCGGGGGCAUUUUUUUCGCAUGGUUUCUAUACACAGUGAAUCCUCCCUCCCCUGGCUCCAUUGGACCCGUGUGCCUGGCACUUUCCCUGGGGCAGAUGAAGCCCUCGCAGAUGCCUAGCAAAGCUUUUCUCCAGUCUCCCACACCCCCCACUGCCCCACUUCAGGAGCUUUGAGUGGCCGCCACGCACAGCUAGAGAGACAGUCAACUUGCUUUAUUCAGGCUCUGGCGGGGACAGAAUAAAAGCAGCCUUCCCACCCACCCACCUGGCCAGCAAGCCUCCUGCCUGGAAUGGCUUUAAAAAAAUUAAUUUGCAAUGAUUUGCUCCCUUCUGUUCUGUGGGGAUCACCAGCAUUUUAAAUAUGUAUUUAGAUCAGAUUCACAACUCCCAGUUAAACCUCAACUGCCUCCCCCCACCCGGCAGAAAGAACACAGGAUUCAGAAUCAGGUGACUAGAAGUUCAGGCCAAGUUCUGCUAAUGAUGAGCUGUGUGGCCUUGGGCAAAUUACUUAAGCUCUCUGUGCCUCCACUGGCUCCUCUGGAAACUGAGGUUAAGGAUAACCCCGCCCUCACAGAGUGCUGCGAGGAUUAAAUUACGUUCCAGAGACUGAACUUCUCAAAUCACUGCUUCAACAGCUUUUAAAAAUCUGGACCUAGUUACUCCUGUCAUCCACGUGUAAAGAUUUAGAAAAAAAAUCCCAAACCCAAGGGUGGGCAGCCGCGAGGAUGUACAGCUCCUGGCAGUGUGCGCUCACCGGAGACCUGAGGUCAAAGCCCAAAUGCUGAGCACCUCCUGGGAGGCGGGAGCAUGGUCUGCUCAGUGCCAGACAUCUGGAUAUUGAGAAAACAUCUGGGUAGCUGGGGUUUUCAGGUUUCUGCCUGACAUUUAAUAUCACAAACAUUGAGCCUGCUCCUGUUCCCCGCCAGCCACGCGGCUUCUCCUCCCAAACAUACCCAGCUCCUUCCCCUGCCUUCCUGACGGGUAAGAAACAUCCAUUCUUUCCAAUUCCCCAGCGUUUUCCCCCUACCGGAAAUCUGAUGGGCUUAUGACAUCAUGGCUGGCUGCUGAGCGAUGAAGUGGAUGCCACAAAGAAAUCCGACAUAUCAGAUAGAUUCUGAAAUCGGUUUCCCUCCAGCUGUAGUAACAGGCGUGAAGUCAGGAGAAUUUGAGCUUUGUUUAAAAAAUAAAUAAAUAAACCAUAACAAAGUCUUGCCCUGUAUUAAAUGCAAUUUUCUUAAAAACAAGCAAACCUUUUGGACAUCAUUUUAUUUUAAUAGAAAUGCUGAGUCUUAUGAAACUAAAGUGGCUAAUA
rnacentral:lncRNA from 1 species